UACGGGAGGCAGCAGUGGGGAAUAUUGCACAAUGGGGGAAACCCUGAUGCAGCCAUGCCGCGUGUGUGAAGAAGGCCUUCGGGUUGUAAAGCACUUUCAGUUGUGAGGAAAGUUAUGUAGUUAAUACCUGCAUGAUGUG
rnacentral:rRNA from 1 species